GACGAACGCUGGCGGCGUGCUUAACACAUGCAAGUCGAACGGAAAGGCCCCUUUGGGGGUACUCGUGUGGCGAACGGGUGAGUAACACGUGAGUAACCUGCCCUUGACUUCGGGAUAACUUCAGGAAACUGGGGCUAAUACCCGAUAACAAUCCUUGCUGCAUGGUGGGGGUUGGUAAGCUUCCGCGGUUUUAGAUGGACUCGCGGCGUAUCAGCUUGUUGGUGGGGUAGUGGCUUACCAAGGCUUUGAGCGGUAGCUGGCCUGAGAGGGCGACCGGCGACAUUGAGACUGAGAGACGGCAGAGAUGCGGACGGGAGGCAGCAGGGGGGAAGAUUGCACAAGGGGCGGAAGGCGGAUGCAGCAAGGCCGCGGGCGGGAUGACAGCCUUCGGGGGGAAAACCGCUUGCAGCAGGGGAGAAGCUUGUGGUGACGGUACCAGCAGAAGAAGCACCGGCUAACUACGUG
rnacentral:rRNA from 1 species